CCUACGGGAGGCAGCAGUGAGGAAUCUUGGUCAAUGGCCGGUAGGCUGAACCAGCCAAGCCGCGUGAAGGACGAAGGUGCCAAGCAUUGUAAACUCCUUUUGUCAAGGGACAACAUCAGGCUCGAGAGCCUGACCGAGGGUACUUGAAGAAAAAGCAUCGGCUAACUCCGUGCCCGCAGCCGCGGUAAUACGGAGGAUGCGAGCGUUAUCCGGAUUUAUUGGGUUUAAAGGGUGCGUAGGCGGACUGUUAAGUCAGCGGUAAAAGGACGGGGCUCAACCCCGUCGAGCCGGUGAAACUGGCGGUCUUGAGAUGUAGAGAGGUAUGCGGAAUGCGCAGUGUAGCGGUGAAAUGCUUAGAUAUGGCGCAGAACUCCGAUUGCGAAGGCAGCAUACCGGCGGCGAUCUGACGCUGAGGCACGAAAGCGUGGGUAUCGAACAGGAUUAGAUACCCGUGUAGUC
rnacentral:rRNA from 1 species